rnacentral:rRNA from 1 species
GUCCACGCCGUAAACGAUGAUUACUCGUUGUUGGCGAUAUGACAGUCAGCGACCAAGCGAAAGCGAUAAGUAAUCCACCUGGGGAGUACGCCGGCAACGGUGAAACUCAAAGGAAUUGACGGGGGCCCGCACAAGCGGAGGAGCAUGUGGUUUAAUUCGAUGAUACGCGAGGAACCUUACCUGGGCUUGAAAGUUAGUGACCGAUUCUGAAAGGAGUCUUUCCGCAAGGACACGAAACUAGGUGCUGCAUGGCUGUCGU